UACGUAGGGUGCAAGCGUUUAAUCGGAAUUACUGGGCGUAAAGCGUGCGCAGGCGGUUUUGUAAGUUUGUCGUGAAAGCCCCGGGCUCAACCUGGGAAUUGCGAUGAAGACUGCAAGGCUUGAAUCUGGCAGAGGGGGGUAGAAUUCCGACGUGUAGCAGUGAAAUGCGUAGAGAUGUGGAGGAACACCGAUGGCGAAGGCAGCCCCCUGGGUCAAGAUUGACGCUCAUGCACGAAAGCGUGGGGAGCAAACAGG
rnacentral:rRNA from 1 species